rnacentral:rRNA from 1 species
UAUACAAUAGCUUUGGGUGGAUGCCUAGGCAGAGCAACAAAGGACGUACCAUACAACGAAAAGUUACGGGGAGGUGCUCUACUCUUUGGAGGUCCCAGUGAUCCGUAGAUUUCCUCUUGGAAAACCAAUAUUUUUAAUACUUAGUGAAUUGAAACAUCUUAGUAGCUAAAGGAAAAAAAAUCAACCGAGAUUCCGUAAGUAGUGGUGAAUGAAAGCGGAAAAGGCCAACUUUGAGUUGUUUACAUGAAAAGGAUACAAAAAAACGUAUCUUUUUAGGUAGCGAGUAGUGUUAAAGUGUUCGAUAAGAAAGACUGUAAAAAGAUACGGAGACUUGCUGUUUUUUAAAUAUAAAACUAUUUUGGAAAAAGUUGCCAAAGAAGGUGAAAGCCCUGUAAAAAAAGCGUGUAAAUACAAAUAUACAAAGUUUAUGCAAUGAGUAAAACGAGAAUUUUUCUUGUUUGAAGUUAGGGGGACCACCCUCUAAGCCUAAAUAUUGUUGUUCUGACCGAUAGCGAACAAGUACCGUGAGGGAAAGGUGAAAAGAACCCCAAAAGGGGAGUGAAAUAGACUCCUGAAAUCCAAAGCUUACAAACAGUUGAAGCUUUCUUUGGUUUUUUUUACACUAAACAAAAAAGAGAGUAACAGCGUACCUUUUGUAUAAUGGGUCAGCGAGUAAAUCAAUAAAGCUAGCUUAAGCCGUUAGGUGGAGGCGUAGUGAAAACAAGUCUAAAGAAGGCUCCUUAAAGUGUCUCAGUUGAAAAAAUGAAAAAUGAAAAAUGAAAAAAGAAUGUUUUCUUUUUUUUGUUAUACUUUGUGAUAUGUUUUAUUGAUUUGACCCGAAACCGGGUGAUCUAGCCAUGAGCAGGUUGAAGAAAGGAUAACACCUUUUGGAGGACCGAACCCACGUCUGUGGCAAUAGGCGGGGAUGACUUGUGGUUAGGGGUGAAAAGCCAAUCGAACUCGGAUAUAGCUGGUUUUCUACGAAAUCUAUUGAGGUAGAGCGUUAUCUCGAAAAAAAGGGGGUAGAGCACUCGAUGGGCAAGGGUGGCCCAAAGCUUUACCGAUCCCAAGGAAACUCCGAAUACCUUUUUUUGAAGAUAGCAGACAGACUUUGGGCGCUAAGGUCCAAAGUCGAAAGGGAAAAAGCCCAGAUCGUACGCUAAGGUCCCUAAACACUUACUUAGUGGGAAAGGAUGUGAUACAGCAUUGACAACCAGGAGGUGGGCUUGGAAGCAGCCAUCCUUUGAAGAAAGCGUAAUAGCUCACUGGUCUAGUUAAAUUGCACCGAAAAUGUAACGGGGCUCAAGUAAGUUACCGAAGCGACGACAUUCUUGUUUUCUUUUUUUCUUUUGUGUAAAAUGGUAACCGGUGGGUUAUAAUAACUUGCAUAGCAGGGGAUACGACCAAAAAGAAUGGGUAAUAGCAGACCAAAAAGAAUGGGUAGUAGAACGUUCUGUAAAUUAUCGAAGGUGUAUCGACAGAUAUUACUGGAAAAAUCAGAAGUGAGAAUGCUGACAUGAGUAACGAUAAAUCUUGUGAAAUUCAAGAUCGCCGUAAGUUUGAGGUUUUCCACAGACCGUAAAUCGGUGUGGAUUUAAUCGGCCCCUAAAAAAAGAGCGAAAGCUGCAACCUAUUUUUUCAUUGAAAAAAGAAUUGAUGGGUAAGAAAGAUUAUAGAUUCUUUCUAUCUUUGUAAGUGACGAAACAAUCCAAAGAGUUUUGUAUAAUUGUAUAAAAGAAUCUCUUCUUGAGGAGAUUUCCAGGAAAAAACUUACAAAUAACAGAAACUAAAAACUUUGUUUUAUAUUUUUUGUUUACAGACCGUACUUAAACCAACACAGGUAAACUAGUUUUCAACUAAGGCGAUUGAGACAACCAUGUUGAAGGAACUCGGCAAAAUACCUCCGUAACUUCGGGAAAAGGAGGACCCUCUUUAAAAGAGACUAGAGAGGGUGGCACAGAAUAGGGGGUGGCGACUGUUUACUAAAAACACAGGACUCUGCAAAGUGGUAACACUAAGUAUAGGGUCUGACGCCUGCCCGGUGCUGGAAACUUAAGGGGAAAGGUAAGGUGUCAUUUUAAUGGCAUCGAGCUUUAAACUAAAGGCCCAGUAAACGGCAGCCGUAACUCUGACGGUUCUAAGGUAGCGAAAUUCCUUGACACCUAAUUAGUGCCCUGCAUGAAUGGCGUCACGACUGCCCCACUGUCUCCAACAUGGACUCAGUGAAAUUGAAUUCUCCGUGAAGAUGCGGAGUACCCGAAAAAAGACGGUAAGACCCUAUGCACCUUUACUAUAGCCUACCAUUGAAAGAAGAAUUCAAAUGUGUAGAAUAGGUGGGAGUACCGUCAAAAAAAUAAUAUUUUUUUGACUGUACAACUUUGAAAUACCACCCUUUUGUUUUAUUCUUUCUUAACCCUUUAAGUGGGAACAGUGGUUGGUGGGUAGUUUGACUGGGGCGGUCAUUUCCUAAAGAGUAACGGAAAUGUGCGAAGGUAAGCUCAGCCUGGUCGGAAACCAGGUACAGAGCGCAAUGGUAUAAGCUUGCCUGACUGUGAGACUUACAAGUCGAACAGGGACGAAAGUCGGCCAUAGUGACCCGGGAGCACCGUGUGGAAGGGCUCUCGAUCAACGGAUCAAAGGUACGCUAGGGAUAACAGGCUGAUGACUCCCAAGAGCUCAUAUCGACGGAGUCGUUUGGCACCUCGAUGUCGACUCAUCAUAUCCUGGAGCUGCAGAAGGUUCCAAGGGUUCGGCUGUUCGCCGAUUAAAAUGGUACGUGAGUUGGGUUUAGUGCGUUGAGAAACAGUACGGAUCCUAUCUUUUUCGGGUGUAUUACAAAUUGAGAGAACCAUUCCUUUGUACGAGAGGACCGGGAAUGAUAAACCUCUGGUUUACUAGUUGUCACAACAGUGGCAUAGCUAGGUAGCUACGUUUAGAUUAAAUAACUGCUGAAAGCAUCUAAAGCAGGAAAUUAUUUCUCAAAACAAGUUUCAAUAGUCGUGGAAGAUUACCACGUGAUAGGCGAGAGGUGUAAAAAUAGCAAUAUUUGAGCCUACUCGUACUAAAAUACUAAAAAACUUUGUAUCU